ensembl:snoRNA
AUAAUUUCUUAGAACUUAAGAAACUCCUGUUCCCCUGGGCCUCCCAUAGUGUCCCAUGUCGGAGCAAACUGUGGCCCUGAAUCACUGUCUGGAAUCUGCCUUUAGGCUGCUGGCACUGCAGUGGGUUGCCCAGUA